rnacentral:rRNA from 1 species
CGAAAGUCUGACGGAGCAACGCCGCGUGAGUGAUGAAGGUUUUCGGAUCGUAAAGCUCUGUUGUUAGGGAAGAACAAGUACCGUUCGAAUAGGGCGGUACCUUGACGGUACCUAACCAGAAAGCCACGGCUAACUACGUGCCAGCAGCCGCGGUAAUACGUAGGUGGCAAGCGUUGUCCGGAAUUAUUGGGCGUAAAGGGCUCGCAGGCGGUUUCUUAAGUCUGAUGUGAAAGCCCCCGGCUCAACCGGGGAGGGUCAUUGGAAACUGGGGAACUUGAGUGCAGAAGAGGAGAGUGGAAUUCCACGUGUAGCGGUGAAAUGCGUAGAGAUGUGGAGGAACACCAGUGGCGAGCGACUCUCUGGUCUGUAACUGACGCUGAGGAGCGAAAGCGUGGGGAGCGAACAGGAUUAGAUACCCUGGUAGUCCACGCCGUAAACGAUGAGUGCUAAGUGUUAGGGGGUUUCCGCCCCUUAGUGCUGCAGCUAACGCAUUAAGCACUCCGCCUGGGGAUACGGUCGCAAGACUGAAACUCAAAGGAAUUGACGGGGGCCCGCACAAGCGGUGGAGCAUGUGGUUUAAUUCGAAGCAACGCGAAGAACCUUACCAGGUCUUGACAUCCUCUGACAAUCCUAGAGAUAGGACGUCCCCUUCGGGGGCAGAGUGACAGGUGGUGCAUGGUUGUCGUCAGCUCGUGUCGUGAGAUGUUGGGUUAAGUCCCGCAACGAGCGCAACCCUUGAUCUUAGUUGCCAGCAUUCAGUUGGGCACUCUAAGGUGACUGCCGGUGACAAACCGGAGGAAGGUGGGGAUGACGUCAAAUCAUCAUGCCCCUUAUGACCUGGGCUACACACGUGCUAC